rnacentral:rRNA from 1 species
CCCUUAGAUGUUCUGGGCCGCACGCGCACUACACUGAUGCAUUCAACGAGUGUACCUUGGCCGAGAGGCCUGGGCAAUCUUUUGAACGUGCAUCGUGAUAGGGAUAGAUUAUUGCAAUUAUUAAUCUUGAACGAGGAAUUCCUAGUAAACGCAGAUCAUCAAUCUGCAUUGAUUACGUCCCUGCCCUUUGUACACACCGCCCGUCGCACCUACCGAUUGGAUGGUCCGGUGAAGCCUCGGGAUUGUGGCGGUUGCCUUUAUUGGUGGCCGCCGCGAGAACUUGUCUAAACCUUAUCAUCUAGAGGAAGGUGAAGUCGUAACA